CCUACGGGUGGCAGCAGUAGGGAAUCUUUCACAAUGGGCGAAAGCCUGAUGGAGCAACGCCGCGUGAAGGUCAGUGCCCUAUGGGCGUUAAACUUCUUUUGUGCGGGAGCAAUAAUGGUCACGUGUGGCCAGACGAGAGUACCGUACGAAUAAGCAUCGGCUAACUCCGCGCCAGCAGCCGCGGUAAUACGGGGGGUGCAAGCGUUAUCCGGAUUUAUUGGGUUUAAAGGGUGCGUAGGCUGUGAGGUAAGUCAGCGGUGAAAGGCCCCCGCUCAACGGGGUGAAGUGCCAUUGAUACUGCCGUGCUGGAAUGCGGAUGCCGUGGGAGGAAUGUGUGGUGUAGCGGUGAAAUGCAUAGAUAUCACACAGAACACCGAUUGCGAAGGCAUCUCACGAAUCCGCGAUUGACGCUGAUGCACGAAAGCGUGGGUAUCAAACAGGAUUAGAUACCCCAGUAGUC
rnacentral:rRNA from 1 species